rnacentral:lncRNA from 1 species
GGAAAGUACUGUUUGGAUGUAUCUCUUGACAGAAGAGAUUAAACCUUAUGAUUACCAGUCCUCUCUUUAAACACUAGUGGGCCAAACUACUCCAGCAUCCCUUAUCAGCCCUCAAAAUUUCUACUCAACCAGUAGAUCACAAGUGGCUAAAUUGAAUGUUAGAUGGCACCUGAAGAACCUUGACUUCCAACUAUAUCUUUGCUGGACAUAAUUUCAAAACAAAUGAAAGAUCAAACAACAACCUUUGUAAGGUAAUUGCAUUUCCACUGUAGUUUUAAGACUGUAAUCGAGUUUGCU